GUGAAGAAAGCUUGGAGAAAGGUUGAAGCAAGAAGGAAUAGCUAGGAGUAAAGAGAACACAAUGGAAUAAGUGAAAUUGAACCAGGAAGCAAAAAGGUGGACCUAAAGUUAGCCUCAAACUUUUGCACAAACUUUUGGGUGAAAAGUUAGCCCCAACGUUAGCCCCUAACUUUUGGGCUAACGUUGGAACUUGAACAUCACUCCCUGGGUACCAAAAGUUUGCGCCAACGUUAGCCCCUAACUUUUGGGCUAACGUUGGAACUUGAACAUCACUCCCUGGGUACCAAAAGUUUGCGCCACCGUUAGCCCCUAACUUUGAGGCUAACGUUGGCACAUGAAAAUCACCCCUGGGCACCAAAAGUUUGCACCAACGUUAGCCCCUAACUUUGAGGCUAACGUUGGCACAUGAAAAUUACAAGGGGAGGAGCAAAAGUUUGUGCCAACGUUAGCCCCNGUUAAUUGCUCUUCAUCUACUUUCCUUGCAAUUUACAAUUCCCUUGCAAUUGUUCUUGAUUGGAUCUAGGAAGGCAUUGAGAUCUAGACUUGGUUUUCUAGUCUCUGGGUCCUGAGAUCUGAUUUCCCAAUUUUACAUUCUCUGUUUACUGUUUUCAAUGUUCAUUUACUUUUCUGUUCUGAGAUCCGAUUUAAUCCAAACCUCUUUUACUUUUCUGUUUGAUGCAAUUUACUUUUCCUUGUUUAAAUUCUGCAAAUCCAAUCCCCAAUUCCCUUUACAUUUCGAGCCAUUUACAUUUCUUGCACUUUAAGAUUCCGCAAUUUACAUUUCUUGCACUCUAGGUUUCUGCCAUUUAAUUUCUUGUUUUUUAAGAUUCAGCAAUUUAAUUUCCUGCUCUCUUUAAUUUCAUGCAAUUUACAUUCUGUAAAUCACAAAUCACCCAACCAAAUCUUGAUUCGCUUGACUAAAUCAACCACCAAACUAAAAUUGCUCAAUCCUUCAAUCCCUGUGGGAUCGACCUCACUCCCGUGAGUUUUUAUUACUUGAUGCGACCCGGUGCACUUGCUGGUUAGAUUUGUGUGUUUUGGGAGAAAUUUAUUUUUCCUCCAAAAUACUCAUCAAGUUUUUGGCGCCGUUGCCGGGGAUUGAUUAGAUUGACAAUGAUUAAGUGAGGUGGUAAUCUAGAUCAAGCACUUUUUCUUUAAUUUUUGACUAACCCAUUAACUGUUUGAAGUUUUGUCUCAACUGACUACACUCAAUUUUCAAGAGUAUCACUGUGUGUUCCGUUGUUGAUUUUUAUGUCGCAGGAAAAAAGAGCAGCCAGAGGGAAGGAUAUCAUUGAAAAUGAAGUUUCUGAGAAAGAAGAACAUGCCAACAUGAAGCCGCAAAUCAUUACACUAAUAGAGAACAAUUGUUCCUAUGGUGGAAAUCCAUUGGAGGAUCCUGAACAGCAUCUAUCUAUUUUUCUGAGGAUCUAUGAUGUUGUCAAUAAUGAUGUCUAUAAGCUCUUGCUAUUCCCUUUCUCACUAAAGGAUGAGGCAGCACAAUGGCUUGAAACUCUUCCCCAAGGAAGUAUCACUAGUUGGGAUGGUUUGGUUGCCAAAUUUCUAGCCAAAUUCUCUACAUCCCAACAAAACAUCAAGAUGAAAGAGGGAACACAUCCAUUCAUUUGAAUGCACAGUUCCCACCAUGGAAGCCACAUUCUUAUCUAAGAAUGAGGGAACCUCAACAUCAGGAACCAAGGAACUUCAACUACAACAACCAUUUCCCAAACUUGCAAAAACCACACUGCCCACCCUUCCAACCUCAGAUACGUCACAACCAACAAAUUUCACAACACUAUCAUAGGAUCACCAAUUUGGAGAUCUUAAUAGAGAAAAUGAUGACACAUCAAGGGAUGAUAAGCAAACACCAGGAGGCCUCACUCGGGAGAAUUGAGAGGCAAAUGGAACAACUAGCUAAGAAUCUCACAGAAAUGAGUGAGAAAAGGGCUAAAGGAAAAGAAUCACUCAUCUAGGAUGAGCAUCACAAAGCAAAGCCUCACUUAGGAGGACAAGGGGACAAGGAGAAGGAAGCCCAGAAUCUGAACUAAGCAAGCACAGAGGAUGUCAAGCUAGUGACAAUAAAAGAGCGCUUGUUGGGAGGCAACCCAACCUGAGGUAGUUUUCCUUUCAUAGCUAUUUCAAUAAAAAGGUUAAUUAGCCUUGAGCAAGUAAAUCCUUAGGGGUGCUUUAACACCUAAUACCUUAAAACCAACUGGUUUAGGAGUAUUGAUUGAAAGCUUAUCUAAAGAGCCGCUUUGAGACAUGAUACUUAGAGUCGUGGCCAAAGCACAGAAACUAUAAGCUGCUUCAAGGUGAUUACAUAUAAAGAGAUCUCCAUGGUACCAUUUGGAUGAAAAUCCUAAAGACCUACGACUCCCAAUAUGUAAGGACUAGUGAGCACUGAAGCCCUUGCAUGAGCAUAUGAUUUAGAGUUCACCCCACUGAUACUUGAUCACUUCACUCACUGCACUUUACAAGUGUUCCUCAAUUCAUCUUAAUUAAAAGAAUCUCUGAGCAUAAUUCAUUUCUUGCUUGGGGACAAGCAAGCUUUAAGUUUGGUGUUGUGAUGACAAGUCAUCUUAGCCUAUUUUAACUAGUCUUUUCCUUUUGUUUUCACUUGAAUUAUGCACUUUCUUGAACUCUAAGCAAGCCAAUUUGGUAGAUUUUCAUAUUUCCUUUGAUUUAAUCAACCAUGUAUGAAUUCAUGCUAUUUCAUGAGGUUUUAUACUAUAAUUGUCACAUAUUAUGAAAGAAUGAAUAUCUCAUGAUUUUAAGCAUAGCUUUGAUGUGUUUGGUUGAUUAAUGAUAGGUGAAGAAAGCUUGGAGAAAGGUUGAAGCAAGAAGGAAUAGCUAGGAGUAAAGAGAAGACAAUGGAAUAAGUGAAAUUGAACCAGGAAGCAAAAAGCUGGACCUAAAGUUAGCCUCAAACUUUUGCACAAAUUUUUGGGUGAAAAGUUAGCCCCAACGUUAGCCCCUAACUUUUGGGCUAACGUUGGAACUUGAAAAUCACUCCCUGGGUACCAAAAGUUUGCAUCAACGUUAACCCCUAACUUUGAGGCUAACGUUGGCACAUGAAAAUCACCCCUGGGC
rnacentral:lncRNA from 1 species